rnacentral:tRNA from 1 species
GACCGCAUAGCUCAGUUGGCAGAGCAUUGGGCUAGUAUUCCAAAGGUCGUAGGUUCGAUUCCCACCGUGGUCA